rnacentral:rRNA from 1 species
AACGAACGCUGGCGGCGUGCCUAACACAUGCAAGUCGAACGAUACCUGCGGGUCUAGUGGCGCACGGGUGCGUAACGGGUAAGGAGUUGCUCUUAGGUUCGGAAUCUCUCCCCUACAUGGGUGCUACUACCGGAUAGUGUCUUUGGUCCGAAGUAUUCUCGCUUUUGGGUGUGCUGGGGGUGGGUUAGAUAGUUGGUAGGGUAGAAGUCUACGAAGGCGACGAUCCAUGGCUGGCCUGAGAGGGUGAUAGGGCACACUGGGACUGGGACACGACCAUUGCUCCUACGGGAGGAAGGAGUGGAGAAUAGUGGACGAGGGGCGAAGGCCUGAUCCAGCACUGCCGGGUGAUUAAUGAAGGCCGUAGGGUUGUAAAGCUCUUUUACUCGGGAUGAGAAUAACAGUACCGGGAGAAUAAGCUCCGGCUAACUCCGG